CUUGGACUCGGCGCCCCUGGGCUGCCGGGUGGCUAUCCCGUCCGCCGAUCCGUCGGGAAACU
rnacentral:ncRNA from 12 species